CAUCAUCCUCCCUUUAACACCCCAUCUUGCCACCUGUAAUACUGUGUCCGCUGUGCCCCUCAAUACUAUCCUGCAGAAAAAGAAAAUCCCCCUGGAAAUACAACUACCACACAGAUAGUGCCCCCUUCUACAAUUAUUGGCACACAGUGCUCUAAA